rnacentral:rRNA from 1 species
UACGGGGGGAGCAAGCGUUGUUCGGAUUUACUGGGCGUAAAGGGCGCGUAGGCGGCUCCGCAAGUCGACUGUGAAAUCUCCGGGCUUAACUCGGAAAGGGCAGCCGAUACUGCGGGGCUAGAGUGCAGAAGGGGCAACUGGAAUUCUCGGUGUAGCGGUGAAAUGCGUAGAUAUCGAGAGGAACACCUGCGGCGAAGGCGGGUUGCUGGGCUGACACUGACGCUGAUGCGCGAAAGCGAGGGGAGCGAACGGG